AAGAUUCUAUAGGAAUAUUUUUAUAUUCCCUUUCUACAGCUUAUUCCAAGCUCCAAAAUACAAGUCAUUUUUUUUGAACACAAGAGAAGAUCAAUUUCUAUUUCUAUAAAAUGGGAUAUGAUAUAUAAAAAAAAUACAUCAAAUCAUGGCUUCACGUAUCAAAUAUUUUCUUUUUCUAUCGGUGCUUCCGGUAUAUUUCCGGCAAUUAAUGACUGGGAGAAAGAGACUUUUCACUUACAGUCUCUUCUCUUAUUAUUUCUAUUAUUUUAUUUAAUAUUAAUUAAAAUAUUUUAAUUCAAUUAAUAUUAAUUACUCGGAU
rnacentral:lncRNA from 1 species